rnacentral:rRNA from 1 species
GACGAACGCUGGCGGCGUGCUUAACACAUGCAAGUCGAACGAUGAAGCCGGAGCUUGCUCUGGUGAAUUAGUGGCGAACGGGUGAGUAACACGUGAGUAACCUGCCCUUGACUCUGGGAUAACUGCGGGAAACUGUAGCUAAUACCGGAUACGACCCUCGGCGGCAUCGCCAGGGGGUGGAAAGAAUUUCGGUCAAGGAUGGACUCGCGGCCUAUCAGCUAGUUGGUGAGGUAACGGCUCACCAAGGCGACGACGGGUAGCCGGCCUGAGAGGGUGACCGGCCACCCUGGGACUGAGACACGGCCCAGACUCCUACGGGAGGCAGCAGUGGGGAAUAUUGCACAAUGGGCGCAAGCCUGAUGCAGCAACGCCGCGUGAGGGACGACGGCCUUCGGGUUGUAAACCUCUUUUAGUAGGGAAGAAGCGAAAGUGACGGUACCUGCAGAAAAAGCACCGGCUAACUACGUGCCAGCAGCCGCCGUAA